rnacentral:tRNA from 1 species
GGAGAGGUGACCGAGUGGUUUAUGGUGCCGCUCUCGAAAAGCGGUAGGCUUAAAAUGCCUCGUGGGUUCGAAUCCCACCCUCUCCG